UACGUAGGGAGCGAGCGUUGUCCGGAAUUACUGGGCGUAAAGGGUGCGUAGGCGGCGAUGUAAGUCAGAUGUGAAAUCCCCGGGCUCAACUCGGGUUCUGCAUUUGAAACUACAUUGCUUGAGUGCAGGAGAGGAAAGCGGAAUUCCUAGUGUAGCGGUGAAAUGCGUAGAUAUUAGGAAGAACACCAGUGGCGAAGGCGGCUUUCUGGACUGUAACUGACGCUGAGGCACGAAAGCGUGGGGAGCAAACAGG
rnacentral:rRNA from 1 species